CCCACGCUUAUAUAUUUGUCAUUUUAAAACGUAAAUUUUUAUUGCGACGUCGAAUUAUUAUUUUGCAUUUUACUGUAUGAUCGGAAUUGAAAAUAAUUUAGCCCACGUAGAGCUGCCAUAGAUUUUGAGAGUGGGAACCAAGUUAUUAUUCUUACAUCGAGUAGUUUCUUCUUAAGUAUCUGCAAAGUGGAUGGCUAUUCUUUAUUAACGAUACAGACAGAAAGUGACAUCGUGGAGAUAAAACAAUUGUACAAAAACGUUUGCUCUUCCUGGAAUUAAGUUGAAGGAGACGGCAGAUUCAGUAAGUGACUAAAGAUAUAUCUGGUGGGAACAACAUUCAAGGAUAUUUCAUUGUUGAUCCACAAUUUUAAGAAAAAAAGGCAAACGAUUGAGCUGGUGGAGACAAAUUCAGAAACAAGUUAUCACUCAAAUUUAUCAGAAACUU